rnacentral:rRNA from 1 species
UUAAGCGACUAAGCGUACACGGUGGAUGCCCUGGCAGUCAGAGGCGAUGAAGGACGUGCUAAUCUGCGAUAAGCGUCGGUAAGGUGAUAUGAACCGUUAUAACCGGCGAUUUCCGAAUGGGGAAACCCAGUGUGUUUCGACACACUAUCAUUAACUGAAUCCAUAGGUUAAUGAGGCGAACCGGGGGAACUGGAAACAUCUAAGUACCCCGAGGAAAAGAAAUCAACCGAGAUUCCCCCAGUAGCGGCGAGCGAACGGGGAGCAGCCCAGAGCCUGAAUCAGUAUGUGUGUUAGUGGAAGCGUCUGGAAAGGCGCGCGAUACAGGGUGACAGCCCCGUACACAAAAAUGCACAUGCUGUGAGCUCGAUGAGUAGGGCGGGACACGUGGUAUCCUGUCUGAAUAUGGGGGGACCAUCCUCCAAGGCUAAAUACUCCUGACUGACCGAUAGUGAACCAGUACCGUGAGGGAAAGGCGAAAAGAACCCCGGCGAGGGGAGUGAAAAAGAACCUGAAACCGUGUACGUACAAGCAGUGGGAGCACGCUUAGGCGUGUGACUGCGUACCCUUUGUAUAAUGGGUCAGCGACUUAUAUUCUGUAGCAAGGUUAACCGAAUAGGGGAGCCGAAGGGAAACCGAGUCUUAACUGGGCGUUAAGUUGCAGGGUAUAGACCCGAAACCCGGUGAUCUAGCCAUGGGCAGGUUGAAGGUUGGGUAACACUAACUGGAGGACCGAACCGACUAAUGUUGAAAAAUUAGCGGAUGACUUGUGGCUGGGGGUGAAGGCCAAUCAAACCGGGAGAUAGCUGGUUCUCCCCGAAAGCUAUUUAGGUAGCGCCUCGUGAAUUCAUCUCCGGGGGUAGAGCACUGUUUCGGCAAGGGGGUCAUCCCGACUUACCAACCCGAUGCAAACUGCGAAUACCGGAGAAUGUUAUCACGGGAGACACACGGCGGGUGCUAACGUCCGUCGUGAAGAGGGAAACAACCCAGACCGCCAGCUAAGGUCCCAAAGUCAUGGUUAAGUGGGAAACGAUGUGGGAAGGCCCAGACAGCCAGGAUGUUGGCUUAGAAGCAGCCAUCAUUUAAAGAAAGCGUAAUAGCUCACUGGUCGAGUCGGCCUGCGCGGAAGAUGUAACGGGGCUAAACCAUGCACCGAAGCUGCGGCAGCGACACUAUGUGUUGUUGGGUAGGGGAGCGUUCUGUAAGCCUGUGAAGGUGUGCUGUGAGGCAUGCUGGAGGUAUCAGAAGUGCGAAUGCUGACAUAAGUAACGAUAAAGCGGGUGAAAAGCCCGCUCGCCGGAAGACCAAGGGUUCCUGUCCAACGUUAAUCGGGGCAGGGUGAGUCGACCCCUAAGGCGAGGCCGAAAGGCGUAGUCGAUGGGAAACAGGUUAAUAUUCCUGUACUUGGUGUUACUGCGAAGGGGGGACGGAGAAGGCUAUGUUGGCCGGGCGACGGUUGUCCCGGUUUAAGCGUGUAGGCUGGUUUUCCAGGCAAAUCCGGAAAAUCAAGGCUGAGGCGUGAUGACGAGGCACUACGGUGCUGAAGCAACAAAUGCCCUGCUUCCAGGAAAAGCCUCUAAGCAUCAGGUAACAUCAAAUCGUACCCCAAACCGACACAGGUGGUCAGGUAGAGAAUACCAAGGCGCUUGAGAGAACUCGGGUGAAGGAACUAGGCGAAAUGGUGCCGUAACUUCGGGAGAAGGCACGCUGAUAUGUAGGUGAAGUCCCUUGCGGAUGGAGCUGAAAUCAGUCGAAGAUACCAGCUGGCUGCAACUGUUUAUUAAAAACACAGCACUGUGCAAACGCGAAAGUGGACGUAUACGGUGUGACGCCUGCCCGGUGCCGGAAGGUUAAUUGAUGGGGUUAGCCGCAAGGCGAAGCUCUUGAUCGAAGCCCCGGUAAACGGCGGCCGUAACUAUAACGGUCCUAAGGUAGCGAGAUUCCUUGUCGGGUAAGUUCCGACCUGCACGAAUGGCGUAAUGAUGGCCAGGCUGUCUCCACCCGAGACUCAGUGAAAUUGAACUCGCUGUGAAGAUGCAGUGUACCCGCGGCAAGACGGAAAGACCCCGUGAACCUUUACUAUAGCUUGACACUGAACAUUGAGCCUUGAUGUGUAGGAUAGGUGGGAGGCUUUGAAGUGUGGACGCCAGUCUGCAUGGAGCCGACCUUGAAAUACCACCCUUUAAUGUUUGAUGUUCUAACGUUGACCCGUAAUCCGGGUUGCGGACAGUGUCUGGUGGGUAGUUUGACUGGGGCGGUCUCCUCCUAAAGAGUAACGGAGGAGCACGAAGGUUGGCUAAUCCUGGUCGGACAUCAGGAGGUUAGUGCAAUGGCAUAAGCCAGCUUGACUGCGAGCGUGACGGCGCGAGCAGGUGCGAAAGCAGGUCAUAGUGAUCCGGUGGUUCUGAAUGGAAGGGCCAUCGCUCAACGGAUAAAAGGUACUCCGGGGAUAACAGGCUGAUACCGCCCAAGAGUUCAUAUCGACGGCGGUGUUUGGCACCUCGAUGUCGGCUCAUCACAUCCUGGGGCUGAAGUAGGUCCCAAGGGUAUGGCUGUUCGCCAUUUAAAGUGGUACGCGAGCUGGGUUUAGAACGUCGUGAGACAGUUCGGUCCCUAUCUGCCGUGGGCGCUGGAGAACGUGAGGGGGGCUGCUCCUAGUACGAGAGGACCGGAGUGGACGCAUCACUGGUGUUCGGGUUGUCAUGCCAAUGGCACUGCCCGGUAGCUAAAUGCGGAAGAGAUAAGUGCUGAAAGCAUCUAAGCACGAAACUUGCCCCGAGAUGAGUUCUCCCUGACCCUUUAAGGGUCCUGAAGGAACGUUGAAGACGACGACGUUGAUAGGCCGGGUGUGUAAGCGCAGCGAUGCGUUGAGCUAACCGGUACUAAUGAACCGUGAGGCUUAACCUU